UCUUCUGACAUACUUAUUGCACUGAUUCCCAGUCCAGUAGAAAUUGCUCUCGUCACUGAAGAUGACCUUGGCCCACUGUUUGUUGGUCCACUUGGCAUACUUCUUGGCCCACGCACAUUGAUGAGAAUGGUGAGCGUCUGUGAGCAAAGGUUUACUUCGAGCCCUGUAGCCUUUGAGCCCUCUGGAAAGCAGUCUGCAACGCACUGUGCUUGUGCAUACUUUUACAUGUUUCACCCCAAAUUCUUGUAAUCUGAGGUGAGGUGAGCUUCCUGUCAGCCAUCGAAAUGCAUUGCUGAGCCCGAUCUUGCCAUUUUGUCGACUUUCUUGGUCUUCAAGAGUGGAGUCUGUCAUCAACUGAACCAGUUAUUUGGUAUUUUUCAACCACUCUGCUCACUGUGG